CGUACACUCCUGCGGGAGGCAGCAGUGGGGAAUAUUGGACAAUGGGCGCAAGCCUGAUCCAGCCAUGCCGCGUGAGUGAUGAAGGCCCUAGGGUUGUAAAGCUCUUUCACCGGUGAAGAUAAUGACGGUAACCGGAGAAGAAGCCCCGGCUAACUUCGGGCCAGCAGCCGCGGUAAUACGAAGGGGGCUAGCGUUGUUCGGAUUUACUGGGCGUAAAGCGCACGUAGGCGGACUAUUAAGUCAGGGGUGAAAUCCCGGGGCUCAACCCCGGAACUGCCUUUGAGACUGGUAGUCUUGAGUUCGAGAGAGGUGAGUGGAAUUCCGAGUGUAGAGGUGAAAUUCGUAGAUAUUCGGAGGAACACCAGUGGCGAAGGCGGCUCACUGGCUCGAUACUGACGCUGAGGUGCGAAAGCGUGGGGAGCAAACAGGAUUAGAAACCCGGGUAGUCCCAUGAU
rnacentral:rRNA from 1 species